AGGUCAAGCUACAAAGGGCGCAUGGUGAAUGCCUUGGCACUAGGAGCCGAAGAAGGACGCGAUAAGCUGCGAUAAGCCUUGGGUAGUCGCAAAUAGGCUGAGAUCCAGGGAUUUCCGAAUGAGGAAA
rnacentral:rRNA from 1 species